CAGGAUCAGCACUGCUGUGAAGAGCUGUUUGUGAGAAAACCACCCAGAAGGAUCGUCUACAUCACCUGGUCCUGUAUUAGCUAUGGAAGGCAGCCACAGUGAAUGGUCUAUUUCAUUCAGAUUCAGAAAAAUUUUCCUCACUUUGAGUAAAUGUAUGUCAAUCCAGAUGAUAAUCAAAUUAAACAGAAGAGGGUUAAAAAUUGAAAAAUGACAACAAUGUUUUUGAAAUUGCCAGAGAGCACUU